rnacentral:rRNA from 1 species
GCUGAAACUCGCCUACAUGAAGCUGGAGUUACUAGUAAUCGCAGAUCAGAAUGCUGCGGUGAAUGCGUUCCCGGGUCUUGUACACACCGCCCGUCACACCACGGGAGUUGGAGACGCCCGAAGCCGAUUAUCUAACCUGUUGGAAGAAGUCGUCGAAGGGGGAAUCAAUAACUGGGGUGAAGUCGUAACAAGGUAGCCGUAUCGGAAGGUGCGGCUGGAUCACCUCCUUUCUAAGGAGA